CAGUGGGAUCAGGGGCAGUCCAGGCUGGAGUCCAGUAGCAUCAGGAACGGAGAGAUGGAAGCGUUAGGCCCAGGUUUGGCUGUUUGAAAGGAAGCUUGGCACAAUAUCCAUUGCCUUCUCCAUUUGUGAAACACCAAGCGGAGUCUGGGCAAGCUGAUGAUGCAGAGGAAAACCUGCAAAUAUACUGGUGAUCCUGAGCCUGGAGGAUGCAGUUAAACCCAGCCAAAAGUAAUUUCUGGAAAGUCAAGCCUGCUGUACAUUUUCUUGAGUUUGGCUAUGCAGCUUUCACCUGAGUCUUAUAAAAAAGCAAACAAAAAACUCAAACCAAAACAGACAAAAACCCAAACAAACAAAGCCACGCAAACCAAUCAAACAAA